CAACGGCCGCCGCCGAGGCUCCGCCCCGCACCUGACUGGCCUCGAGAACCCAAGGAGGCGGUGGGUUAUCUCAGCGCGGCACAAAGGAGGCACAUUGAGAAAGGGGCGGGGUUGUCAGCGACUUCAAGAGUCUCUGCAUAUUCUCCUCCAACAAACAACCAGAUAUCUAGAAAAUAAAAGGAUGCCGAAUGGAGAAAGUCCCCUGGCUCCUCCUGAAUCUCAUGCAAAAGGCUGGAACUCUCAAUCCCUGACAGCUUCUGGAUUCUUCCUUCAGCAUCAAACUGCAAGAUGGCAGCCUUCUGGCUAGACUACAACCAGGGGACCCUGCAGAGGCCUUGCACCUAAGGCAUGAGAUUAGAAUUCCCAACACAGAGACGUUUUACCUGGCACUGAGAUCUGGGGUGCCCUUCACAACACACUUGCCCCCACCACACUCCACCCCUCCC
ensembl:lncRNA